GCUCAUUAAGAACGAAGGCCUCCAGGCUCCAGCAGCUCUGAACCAGCAGAGCAGAGAGGCUGGAUUCCAGCGCCGACCCACUCAGCGGGGUGGCCUUGUGCCGGAGAGGUACUGCUCCAGGACAGCCCUGCUGACCCAUGGAUGGACAAGAUAUAUUUCCUCCCAAGGAGCUGACAGUCUGUGCAAUUCAACAAUGAAGGAAACCCGCAUAGUGAACCUGGAUAUAAAUGCCUGGACAUUCUACUAUCGUCGUUUCCAGGACAGGAACCCCCACCGUGUAUGAUGGAUGAGACCAGGAGAUGGCCCCCAUGUCAAACACUGGGAGCUGAAUUGCUUCAAGAUGCAAACCUCAUAGCUGAACUGUAUCAAGAGCGCCGGACUCGAUUCUCCAUGAUGCACCUACUGGCAGGAUAAUGUCAUUCAUUCUAUCCCCAGGGGUCAGCCCUCACUUAGAGCUCAUGAACUCUGGAGAUGGGUACACCACUGGCUGAUCCACCCAGCAGCAAGCCAUCCCACUGCCCUCUUCCAGAAAUCCUGUAGAGGAAGCUUCCUGUAAUGUUUAUGAUAGUGCAAAGUUCUGUGCCGGGCCCCGGAGAUAAAGAUAAGGCCAUACCUCCAAAUCCCUUUUUUCAAGAGAGCUAUCAGAAGAGAGACCAGGAAACAGGCAACAACACAAGAAAAGAGCCCCACAUGCUUUCCUACACCCAAGACAGGAAGUUGAAGUCAGGAGAGACUCAGAUAAGCAUCUCCAGGGAAGGCGGUGCUUUCCUAAAUUGUGUCUGAGAGGAGUAGAGGCUAUGCAGAAGGAAGGGUGGCAGAGAGUAUGGGCAGGAGGAAUAGGAUGUGAAAAGACUCAGAGGCAGUCCACCACUCAGCAAAGGCAAGGCAUUCCUUGCCUUGUGUAAGGCAAGGAAUCCAGCGAGGAUGAGGCUAGAGGGCUUGGCAGGGGCUGGACU